AUACGGAGGAUGCGAGCGUUAUCCGGAUUUAUUGGGUUUAAAGGGAGCGUAGGCGGGAGCUUAAGUCAGCGGUUAAAUGGUGCGGCUCAACCGUGCCCCGCCGUUGAAACUGGGUUUCUUGAGAGUGCAAGAGGCGGAUGGAAUUCAUGGUGUAGCGGUGAAAUGCUUAGAUAUCAUGAAGAACUCCGAUUGCGAAGGCAGUCCGCUGGGGCACGUCUGACGCUGAUGCUCGAAGGUGCGGGAAUCAAACAGGAUUAGAUACCCUGGUAGUCCGCACGGUAAACGAUGAUUACCCGCUGUCGGCGGCAGACAGUCGGCGGCCAAGCGAAAGCGAUAAGUAAUCCACCUGGGGAGUACGCCGGCAACGGUGAAACUCAAAUGAAUUGGCGGGG
rnacentral:rRNA from 1 species